GGCGAACGGGUGAGUAACACGUUGGUGACCUGCCCCGAGGUGGGGGACAACCGUGGGAAACCACGGCUAAUACCCCAGAUGUUGAGGAGUCUAGACGCCCUUAACUAAAGUUCCGGCGCCUCGGGAGGGACCUGCGGGCUAUCAGCUUGUUGGUGGGGUAAUGGCCUACCAAGGCUCAGACGGCUAGGGGGCGUGAGAGCGCGACCCCCCACAAUGGAACUGAGACACGGUCCAUACUCCUACGGGAGGCAGCAGUGAGGAAUAUUGCGCAAUGGGGGAAACCCUGACGCAGCAACGCCGCGUGGAUGAUGAAGGCCUUCGGGUUGUAAAAUCCUUUUCUGAGGGACGAUAAUGACGGUACCUCAGGAAUAAGUCCCGGCUAACUACGUGCCAGCAGCCGCGGUAAAACGUAGGGGGCGAGCGUUAUCCGGAUUUAUUGGGCGUAAAGCGCGCGUAGGCGGCGCUGUAAGUUGGACGUGAAAGCUCUUGGCUUAACUGAGAGAGGUCGUUCAAAACUGCAGCGAUUGAGGUUGGAAGAGGAGAGUAGAAUUCC
rnacentral:rRNA from 1 species